UCCCAUCUCCCCUGCCACCCCCUUGCCACGGGCCCGCGGCCGGAACCCUAGCUCCGGAGAAGUGGUUGCUGCAGGCGAGGAGAUCUCUGAUAUAAGCUAGCUUCGCCGCCUCACAGCUGCAGCAAGACCCUGAAUUGGGCAGCAUCGUGAAGGACAAGACUUGGAAUGGAUCCUGAAAUGAGGGAUCGUGUUAGGAAGAGGGAGGAGGAGGAUGACGAAAUGAUGUUAUUUGUUUUCCCUGCACUACAUUUGAUAGAGACCGAUGGAGUUGCUCUUAGGGAGCGGAGGAUUCCGCGUCAUACAUCAUCGCUAACAGGCGAGAUGUUUGUUAAGGAGUUACUCGAAGG